AAUGAACGCUGGCGGCAGGCCUAACACAUGCAAGUCGAGCGGAGCGGCGGACGGGCGAGUAAUGCAUAGGAGUCUACCUGGCAUAGGGGGCUAACGUACGGAAACGGGCCCUAAUACCACAUCCUUCCUGAUGAGCCUAGUUUGGAUUAGCUAGCUGGUGGGGUAAAGGCGUACCAAGGCGACGAUCCGUAGCUGGUCUGAGAGGAUGAUCAGUCACACUGGAACUGAGACACGGUCCAGACUCCUACGGGAGGCAGCAGUGGGGAAUAUUGGGCAAUGGGCGAAAGCCUGAUCCAGCCAUGCCGCGUGUGUGAAGAAGGUCUUCGGAUUGUAAAGCACUUUAAGUUGGGAGGCGUUACCAACAGAGUAAGCACCGGCUAACUUCGUGCCAGCAGCCGCGGUAAUUC
rnacentral:rRNA from 1 species